GACGAACGCUGGCGGCGUGCUUAACACAUGCAAGUCGAACGGAAAGGCCCUGCUUUUGUGGGGUGCUCGAGUGGCGAACGGGUGAGUAACACGUGAGUAACCUGCCCUUGACUUUGGGAUAACUUCAGGAAACCGGGGCUAAUACCGGAUAGGAGCUCCUGCUGCAUGGUGGGGGUUGGAAAGUUUCGGCGGUUGGGGAUGGACUCGCGGCUUAUCAGCUUGUUGGUGGGGUAGUGGCUUACCAAGGCUUUGACGGGUAGCCGGCCUGAGAGGGUGACCGGCCAAAUUGGGACUGAGAUACGGCCCGGACCCCUGCGGGGGGCAGCGGGGGGAAAAAUUGCAAAAUGGGCGGAGGCCGGGUGCAGCAACGCCGCGGGGGGGAGGACGGCCUUGGGGUGGUAAACCGCUUUCGCCUGGGACGAAGCGGGAGGGACGGUAAUGGGUAAAGAAGCACCGGCUAACUACGU
rnacentral:rRNA from 1 species